ACUCGACAUAAGUCUAAAUGUCGCCCCGAUGACAACAGUGGAAGUCCCGCCCUGGCAGUUGUUGCACGCACGAAAAAUCUUCAUUGGUUCAGCCGGCUGCUGCGCAGCGCAUCGCCUUUCGGGUAAUGUAGUUCCCAUACGAACGACAAACUUUGAGGUGGAUCGGAAAAGCCACUGCUGUGGAGUCCAUUCCGGCUCAGGAGCUGCUCCAUAGUUUUCUUAGCUUUAAUCUUAAUAGAAGGAGUCCUGGUGGCUUAGUGGUUAAGUCCUGGGCUGCUAACGAAAGGUCUGCGAUUUGAACCCACUCAGCGGCUGCUUGGCGAUCUGCUUCUGCAAAGAUUAUAGCUUAGGAAGUCCCAUGGGGCAGUUCUAGGCUGUCAUAUAGGGUCGCUGUGAGUCGGAAUCGACUUGACGGCACAUAACAACAAAUAUUUGGGUGAUUCUACUCUGUAACUCUUGGGGUCACCAUAAGUCAGAAUCUUCUACACUGCAAGAAGUUUGGUUUUUGGUUUUGGCUACAGACUACAGUAAAGUGCACUCCCAGGAAACGGGCACAACCCCUUUAAGAGGAAGCGAAGCCUCGCCUUGUCCUCAGAGAAACAGGAUGCCAUUUCCCAACGCCUCUGGCUGUACAGUUUAGCAGUGGCCCUGGACUUCAGGAGGGGCGCCCCACUUCACGCACUGUGGGAACUACCAAAGUCAAAACCCAAACCCGUUGCCGUCUAGUCAAUUCCGACUCAUAGCGACCCUAUAGGGCAGAGUAGAACUACCCCAUAAAGUUUCCAAGGAGCGCCUGGUGGAUUCAAACCGCCCACUCUUUUGUUAGCAGCUUUAGCACUUAACCACUAUGCCACCGGUGUUUCCGGGGGAACUACAGUACCCCGAAUACUCUGCGUCGUGCGACCAGGUGGCUUUGGGCCAAUGAAGGCUCAGGAAAGAGGCGUUUCCUUUCGUUCCAUAGACGUUAGAACUGGACUUCCGGUGCCCUUCUUGAAGUUUUGUUUAAUUUUGGCUUAAUCCAGUGUAUCCGAGGCUCCGGAUCGCUGUUUCCGACCGGAGGUGACAGGAAGGGGAAGACACGAGAGGAGGCGUUGUCCUCGCUGCACAGAGGCGGGUCUGAGCCUCGGCGAUCCUUGCCCUUGUCGCCCGCCCCCCCUUACUCCCACCUCUAUCCUUGUUCCCAGACCCGGAUGGCGGCGGCCGCGGUGAUAAGCCCCGCGCAGGUCCCCAUGAACUCAGAAAUAACUAUGGAUCCUAAACAGGGGCAGGUGACCUUUGAGGACCUGUUCGUGUACUUCUCCCAGGAGGAGUGGGGACUCCUUGAUGAGGCUCAGAGACUCCUGUACCGUGAUGUGAUGCUGGACAACCUUGCCCUCAUGGCCUCACUGGGACAUUCACCUUCCAUGUCUCAGGUGGUUGCCCCAUUGGAGCUGGGUGGGGAGCCCUGGGUACCUGACUGGGUGGACAGGACUCCAGCUGUGGCAAGAGAGGCUCAGCACAAUUUCGGCCCUGGUUGUUGGCAUGCAGUGCAGGAGGAGGAGGAACCUUCCAAGCAGAGUGUUUCUGUGGAAGGACCGUUGCAGGUCAGGACUCCACAGGCAGGUCUGUCCAACCAGAAGGCCCAUUCCUGUGAGAUGUGUGGCCCAGUCUUGAAAGACAUUUUGCACCUGGCUGAGCAGCAAAGUACACACCCCAGGCAGAAACCAUGCAUGUGUAUGGCAUGUGGGAGACAAUUUUGGAUCAGUGCAAACCUUCCCCAGCACCAGAAGCAGCACAGUGGAGAGAAACCCUUCAGAAGGAAUGACAGCAGCAUCUUUCUUGUGAAGAGCUGCAGUGUCCACCCAUCAGAGAUGCCAUUUAUGUGGAAGGAUGGUUGUAAGGACUUCCCAGCCAGCUCGACUAUUUUCCAGCACCAGGCCCCUCAGGGUGAGUGGAAACCAUACAGUAACACCAAGUGUGAGGAGACCUUUCCCAGCGGACAAAAGCAUUACCAGUGCAGCGAAUGUGGGAAAGCCUUCAGCCGCAAAGACUCACUUGUUCAACACCAGAGAGUCCACACUGGAGAAAGGCCUUAUGAGUGUGGCGAAUGUGGGAAGACAUUCAGCCGCAAACCCAUACUUGCUCAGCAUCAGCGGAUUCACACUGGAGAAAUGCCAUAUGAGUGUGGCAUAUGUGGGAAGGUUUUUAAUCAUAGCUCCAACCUCAUUGUUCAUCAGAGAGUGCACACGGGAGCCAGGCCUUACAAGUGCAGCGAGUGUGGGAAAGCCUACAGCCACAAAUCCACACUUGUACAGCAUGAGAGCGUCCACACUGGAGAGAGGCCUUAUGAGUGCAGUGAAUGUGGGAAAUACUUUGGUCACAAGUACAGACUCAUUAAACAUUGGAGUGUUCACACUGGAGCAAGGCCUUAUGAGUGCAUUGCAUGUGGGAAGUUCUUUAGCCAAAGCUCUGACCUUAUUGCACACCAGAGAGUGCACAAUGGUGAAAGGCCUUAUGUGUGUGACGAAUGUGGAAAAGCUUUUAGCCACAAACAUGUACUUGUUCAGCACCACAGAAUUCACACUGGAGAAAAGCCGUUUAAGUGCAGUGAAUGUGGGAAAGCCUUCAGGCAAAGACCUUCCCUCAUUCGUCACUGGAAAGUUCACACUGAAGAAAGGCCUUAGGAGUGUAAGGAAUGUGCUGUCUCCUUGUUCAUUUGCCAGCCAGAAGUUAAACCUCAUACACUUGAACACCCACCCAGGGGAGAGUCUUCUGAGCGCCAAGUGUGUGAGAGCCUUUCUGGAGCUAUGUUGCACUCUCCACCUGCCCAUGGCUCUUCCCAAAGUUAUGUCACUGCGAGUGCCUAUGGAAGAAGCCAUCUACCGACUGGGAGUGUCCCACGUUGUGCACAGUUCACCCCCGUGUGCUCUGAAAGGCAGACCUCUGUGCUCUUCUCCCUUCCCUAAAGUCCAUGCUGAGUAGUCUGAGUCCAUUCCCCCCUGUUCCCUGACUGGUUUAAAUAUGGAUGUGACCCAGUUUUGGGCAAAAGAAUGCACGUUUUGUUCUUCUGGAGGGUUACAGAGAAGGUUUUCUGUUGGCCUAACGUGGCACUCGUGAUAGAUAUCUCCAGCCUUCCAAGAACUGCCUGCCUCAUGUUCUGGUUUUGCAACAAAUGCCUUCAUUCUUAAACUUCCCUUGAUCUUGGGGGUUCUGCGCACUUUGUGGGUUGGGUUAAGAAUGGCACUGGAUUCUGCCAACGUCAAGGGAUAAGUUGUGGGAGCUCCAACUUUGUGUGUCUCCAAAAUGAUUGCAGGACAGCAGAGAAUAGCUCUCAAUCUUAUUUCAGCCUAAUUUCUAAUACUGACCAAGGUCCCAUAGGAAAGAAUACUGAUCUAUGUGGGCUGUACACCAGGAUUACUUGUAUGACUGAGGUCACCCUGAGCAGUGUGCUUUUGUGACAACCUCUGGUAUGUCUGGAAGCAAUAUGAAUUGAAUCCCUUGUUACCUGGGGAUGUUUCUUAGACUCCAGCCGUCUUGAGAUCUUGAUACCCCAUUUACAUUUAUUGAGACUUGCUUUAUGGGCUAUCUUGGUAAAUGUUCCAUGUUCACUUGAAAUGAACAUGUAUUGUAUUCUUGUUUGGUGGAGGGUUCUACAAAUGUCAACUAGAUCAGGAUGGUUGAUAAUGUUGUCUACGUUUUCUGCAUCCUUACUGAUAAUUCUAUUUUCUUGUUCUAUCAAUUAUUUAGAAUGGAUUGGUUACAUCUCUGGAUAUAAAGUAGAUUUGCCUAUUUCUCUGUGCAGGUCUAUCAGUUUUGCUUCAUGUAUCUUGAAGCCAUUUAUUAGGUGAAUAAACAUUUUCAGUUGAUAUGUCCAAGGAGCCCUGAUAAUGGUUAAGUGCUUGGCUGCUAACUGAAAGGUUUGUGGUUUGAACCCACCUAGCUGCUGUACUGGAGAAAGAACUGGCAAUCUGCUUUCAUAAAGAUGAGCGCCUAGGAAACCCUACUCUGUCACAUGGGUUGCUAUAAAUUGAAAAUCAACUAACAGCACCUAACAACAACAUUGUUAUGUCCACUUAAUUAGUUGACCUCUUUAUCAUUACGAUGACCCUCUUUCUCUAUGGUAAUAUUUUUGGCUCUAAAGUCUACCUUGUCUGAUAUUAUACACACUCGAACUUUUAUUUGCUUACUGUUGUUGUUGUGGUUAGGUUCCAUCAAGUCAGCUCUAACUAACAGCAACCCUGUGUACAACAGAACGAAAUGUUGCCUGGUCCUGCACCAUCCUCACAAUCAUUGCUAUGCUUGAGCUUAUCGUUGCAGCCACUAUUUCAGUCCAUCUCGUUGAGGGUAUUCCCUUGUUUUCACUGACCCUCUAUUUUACCAAGCAUGAUGUCCUUCUCCAGGGACUGAUCCCUUCUGAUAAUGUGUCCAAAAUAAGCAAAAUGAAGUCUCACCAUCCUCAUUUCUGAGGAGCAUUCUGGCUGUACUUCCUCCAAGUCUGAUUUGUUCAUUCUUCUAUUGCUCCAUCCUAUGACUUUUAUCUUAUUUUUGUCUUUAUCUUUAAAAUAAUCUUCUCCAGAAUCACAUGAAGAUCUUUAACAAAAUCCCCGUGCAUUUGCAAGCACUCAUUGAACUCAACACUUAAAAUUGGAGAAUUCUGUUGUAUGAAGUUUUCUCUCUCCUAUAUUCUCUAUGGGCUCCAGCCACUCUGACAUGCCCAGACUUCUAGACAUUACAGUAGUCAUUUGUAAUAAAUCUAAACAUGCACUUGUCAUCCUACACAGCAGUCUCAUUUAUAGCCAUAUCCCAAAGAGGAAUAAAACAUGGCCAGAGCAGAUGGUCGACAAUACUUUAAAACAAAGAUAAGAAGGUAAAGGGGCAGGGAAACUAGAUCAAUGGAAACCGAACAACCAGAACGAAAAUAAUGAGGAUGUUCCCGCAUUGUAAAGAGCGUAACCAAUGUCACUGAACAAUUUCUGUAGAAAAUUGUUGAAUGGAAACCUAAACUGCUGUGUAAACCUUCACCAAAAACACAAUAAAGUAUUAGUUAAAAACAAAACAUGCCCACAGAAAUACCUGUACUAGAACGUCCACAGCAACAGCAGCUUUAUUGAUUAAAGCCGACAACAGGAAACUGUCUUGCUUUUAUCGGUACUGAGGUGAUUAUUGAUAAUUUCCUCCUUUACUUUCUAUUUAUUGAAACAUUUUCUUUGGGUUCAAUUUCUGAUAUACUUCUACUUUCGUUAUUUCACUCUUAUGAAAUAAAAUGGCCUCUGGUCUAUGCCAUGCAUAGCAAUGAUUUGCCCUAUUCGAUAGUAUCAGUAUAUAGGUUAAUAUUUCUAUCUAGGAAAUUUGUCAUUCUUUAUUUUUAGAUCCAGUAUGUUAUUUAAAGCACUCUAAGAUGUGAAAUACAAGUUUACCUCUAUGUUUCCAACUAAAUCUCCAAAUGUGAUAUAAUAAACUUUUUUCCCAACUUAUUUUGAUUGACUUUUCCUACAUACAGUUUUGUAGGCUCCAUAUUCUGUACAAUUAACCUAAUUGUUGAUUUCAGUAUCAGCAAAAAACUAUUGUUAAUAUACUUUAUGUUGUUCAAGGCCAAUUUACUUCAUCCAAAUUUUCUUCAUUUUUAUUGAAUUUUUGAUAGCCUGUAAUCACUAGAGGAAUUUUGGAAGCACCAUGCGAUUGAUGUUACAUUAAACGAGACUCUUAUUUUUUGUGAAUUGAAUUAUUUGUAUUAUUAGAAUUUGCCUCAGUCUGAAGUGUGAAUCUGUUCUGUUAUUAAUAUGUUAAAAUGAGUUCUUAAUUUUGCUUCAACAUCCCUAUAAUUAAUUUUAGUGUUGUUUUAUGAAAUUUUAGUUACAUUUUAUGAGAAACCAUUUUCUUUACAGCUUUAAAGAGAACAUUGCCUAUAGACAUUAAAUCUGUUGAUACACAUUUAUAACAUACACGUGUAUCCUAAACUGUCAUUAAUUAUAAUGCUUUAUGUGAUUUAUAGUUUCUCUAAUAAAUGACCAUUUUAUCUGUCAAGUAUGAACAUUUAACACCUUCAUUUACAGUAAUUACAUCUCAUAGUUAGUUCUAUUCCUGCCCAUUGAAUUUACCGGAAGAAAAUGAGUGAGUUAAUAUGGUGGUAUCUGGCACAGUUGUCUUAUUCCUAACCAGUUUAGGAAUCUCUCCAUAUCUCACCAUCUAGUACUGAACAAUCAGUACAUUUAUGAAAGAAAUAAAAGUUCUCUGUGAGAAAUACUGUAAUUUCCAUAUGGGAGAAAGACCAAAGCACCCAAUGGGUUAAGCUACAUGAAUACUCCUAAUAUGCCUUCAAUAAACAUUUUCUUAAGGUUCAUAUUUUUACCAACACCUGAUUGGUGGCUAAUGGGCUAACUACUUGGUCGAAGCUUUGACACAAUCAGGGCUGGAAGAUACAAGGCGGAGACAUUUGGAAUAAAGAGAUGUGGGAAGAAAUCGCCACUUUGGUCUCCCUCUGCCCAUCUUGAUGAGCCAUAACUUGGCUCAUACCAACCAAGACAGGGAGGGGGCACAAUACAAUGCCAAUGCCAACGAACUAACCAAAUAUCCAAAGCAGUGAACCUGAGGAGGGGAACUCCCUAAAAGUUCUGGAUGAGCCACUCUACCCUUUUUCAGUAGCCCUUGAGUGACACAGGAGGAAUCGAGACAUUUGGGCAUCAUGGGUUAAAAAAAUGGACUAUUAAUAGAGGAGACAGCUCAAAGGGGAGACAUCUACACACAAAAAAGACAUUUACACAUUUAAACAAGAAGACAUUUACACACGUACUGUAUUUUUAAGCAAAUAGCACGCACCUUCUACAUUUGUUUACCAACCACUCCCUCCCCUUCCCCCCACCAAAGUAUUUUUGUAAGUGCACUAUGCUAAUUUUUGUACAGCAACAUGUAACAAAAAAUAGCAUAGCUGUGCUUACAAAAAUACCUCCUGGCAGUGAAGAUGCAGAUGGCAAACACAUAGGAUGUGUGUGUUAUUUACGUAAAAAUACAGUACACAGAAAAAGACAUUUGCACAUUUAAAGAAGACAAUACUUACACAAAUCUAGACACAGUGUUAACAGAUUGAGCAGUUUCCUCAAAAAAUAUGUGCUGUAAAUCCUAACCCUAUACCCUGAAGCUUUGACACAAUGGACUAAGAGUCCUGGUGGUACAGUGGUUAAAGCGCUUGGCUACUAACUGAAAGGUCAGCAGUUUGAACCCACCAGUUGCUCCAUGGGAGAAAGAUGUGGCAAUCUGCUUCCACAAAGAUUGUUAUGUUGUUAGGUGUUGAGUUGAUUCCAACUCAUAGCAACUGUAUAUACAACAGAACGAAACACUUCCUGGUCCUGUGCCAUCCUCACAAUCAUUGCUAUGUUUGAGCCCGUUGUUACAGCCACUCUAUCAGUCAUUGAGAGUCUUCCUGUUUUUCACUGACCCUCUAUUUUACUAAGCGUGAUAACCUUCUCCAGGGACUGGUCCCUCUCGAUAACAUGUCCAAAGUACAUGAGACAAGUCUUCUUCUAAGGCAGCAUUCUGGCUGUACUUCUUCUAAGAGAUUUGUUCGUUCUUCUGGUAUAUUCAAUAGGCAAGAUUACAGCCUCGAAAACCAUAUGGGACGGUUCUGCUCUGUCAUAUAGGGUCACUAUGAGUCAGAAUCAACUAGAUGGCAGUGAGUUUUGGAUACCUGUGGAUAUAAUCCCAUUUGGGAAUAGGGUUUUCAAGCCAUUAUCGGUGUAGGCUGUGUUUUAAGCCAAUCUCUUUUCACACAUAAAAGAGCAGAUUAGGCACUGAUAAAAAGCGGAUAUGGGAAAGAUCAACACUAUCUGAAUACAUGGAGGCAGACCAGUCUAAAACCGAGGAACUCCAGGGAUGGCCAGCUAGAGAAGCUGAGAUAAGGACCUUCCCCCAGAGCCAACAGAGAGAGAGCCUUCCUCUAGAGCUGGUGCCCUGAAUUCAGACUUCUAGCCUCCUGAACGUAAGAAAAUAAAUUUUUGUUUGUUAAAGUCAUCCAUUUGUGGAAUUUCUGUUACAGCAAUACUAAGAGACUAAGCUACUGGGUCUACCACAUGGGAGGAGAACCUUACAAAGGAAAAGGCCACAUCAGAACUGAAAAUCCAGAGCCUAGCCACUUCUGCCUCAAUCCUGAUGAGAAUCUGACAUGGACCACCAACUCUGGAACCAUCUUCAGUCUGCCCCACUCAUCAUCCAGCAUCCACUACUAUCUAGAGGGAGAGGCAUCCUCAUCUGUCCACCCGCGUACUUUCCUCUUCUAAAGUCACUGUGGAAUUAGCUUGGACCUGCUCUCGACUCCCAGAAGGUGGAACUCAUUCACUAUUGUUUGGACAACACCAUUUGGCCCAUACCCAGGGGACAAUCGGAUCCCCUACUGCUGGCCACAAAUGAACUCUGUUAUGGUUUGAACUGUGUAUCCCUAAAAUAUGUGUUGUAAAUCCUAACCUCUACACCUGUGGAUAUAAUUCCAUUUGGGAAUGGGUUUUCUUUGUUAAAGUAGCCCUGGUUGUGCAGUGGUUAAGCACUUGGCUGCUAACUGAAAGGUUGGCAGUUCAAACUUACCAGCUGCUCCUAGGGAGAAAGAUGUGGCAGUCUGCUCCCAUAAAGAUGACAGCCUAGGAAACUCUAUGGGGCAGUUCUACUCUGACACGUGAGGUCACUAUGAGUCAAAAUGGACUCAAUGGCACCCAACAGUGACAACCUGCAAAGUCACCUGGGCUGGAGUUUCCUUUGUUGGAAGGUUUCUAAUUACACACUAAUUUCCUUCAAGGUAUAGGCCUAUAGAUAUAGGGUUAUAGAGGCGUGAUGAGUUUGAGGAUCUGGGGGCUGAUCAAGGAAUAGGACUAUGAGAUGGUAGCAUUGCAAAACAAUCUAUUUAUCACAGGGGGUGGGGGAGGGGAUUUAUAGGCCAUUGUGGGAACUAAGGUUUAAUUAAGGCCUAACUUAACUAAGGCCUCCUGGAAAAGAAUGCCAGGCUUUUCGUCUGUGGCAAUCUUUUCUUGGUGCUAUAUCUAAGAAAUAUUUGCUUAACCGUGGUCACACAGAUUUUGAGAUUUUGACCUAUGCUUUCUUCUGGAUGUUUUAUGGCCUUAGGUUUUAUAUUUAGGACAUUGAUCCAUUUUGAGUCCAUUUUUCAAUGAGUCUUGCUGAAAAAUAUAUGCUAAAUUGUAGGGAAAAAGGAUGAAUCCGGGAUAAAAGAUGGUUAUAUUUUCUGCAAAAUGCAUCUGAAAAGAUGAUAAUGUGAUUCACACAGAUAGAAAGCACUAAGGGAGCCUGAGGUUUGGGGGUAAGUUUUGGGAAAACAGCUCAGUUUGGGGCAAAUAAUAUCCUCAUCAGGGAAACAAGUCUGGCAGGAAAGGUUUGUUGCUGUUAGCUGCUUCUGAGUCAAUUCUGACUCAUGGUGACCUCGUGUGCAGAGUAGAUUUUCUUGGCUAUAAUCUUUUUACAAAAGCAGGCCUUUUUUCCACAGUGCCACUGGGUGGGUUCUAACCACCAACUUUUAGAUGAGCAGUCCAGCACAAAACUGUCUGCACCAUCCAAGUACCCUAGGAAAUGUUGAGCAGAAGGAAAUAUUGGCCACUUGUAUUGACAACUCCUGAGAAACUGAACAAUAUGAGGAUGCAGAGCGACCACAGGAAUUAACACAGAGUCAGUGCUGACUUGGACAGGGGACUCUGUGGACUGCAGGCCUGAUGUAGGCGGAGUGGGGAUGAGGAGCCAUGAAGGGUCAGGAAAUGGAAAGGAGCUGGAGGGAGGUGAUGGAGGCAAAAUUGUUUUCCUCUCACAAAAGUAGAUAUAAGACUAUGUUUGUAUACUUAUGGGAGUAACCCAGGAGACAUGACAGAAGGGAGAGAAAGUGGAAAACAGCACAGGGAAACUGAUUUUGAUGAAAGCAGAGACAGGAUCCAGAGCCCAUUUGCUACACUGGGCUUUGCCUACAGUAAGGGACCUUCUUCUACAGUUAUAAAAAAGAAAUGGGGGUGCUCCUGUAGCCACACUUGUCAAUUUGGUGUGAGUAAACCACAUGAAAAAAAAAUUUUUUUUUUUUAUACCACAUGAAAGGAGCCCUGGUGGUACAGUGGUUAAGUGCUCAACUGUUAACUGAAAAGUUGGCAGUUUAUACCCACCCAGCAGCUCUUUGGAAGAAAGAUAAGGCAGUCUGCUUCCAUAAAGAUUACAGCCUUGAAAACCGUAUGGGGCAGUUCUACUCUGUCCCAUAGGUUCACUAUCAGUCAGAAUCAGCUGGACUCGACAGCAAUAAGUUUUGGGUUUUGGCUAAGCUAAAUGGAGCAGUUUUAGUUUGUAACACAUGGAGUCACCAUGAGUUGGAAUAGACCUAGUGGUAAUGAGUUUGGUAUAUAUAUAUAUAUACACACACAUAUAUGUCUUAGGCUGGGUUGUAUAGAGAAGCAAAACCAGUAAAGGGUAUAUAUAUAGAGAGAGAGAUUUAUAUCAAGGAAAUGGCUCAUGUGGAUUUUAGAGGCUGUAAUGUUCCAAGUCCAUGGGGCAGGGAAGAGGCUUCUGCUGAUUCACGUAGCCAAGAUCAACAGGCCAGAGAGCAGGACUGUUGCAGGCUGUGAAGACUGACGAAUCUCAAGUUCAGCAGGCAAGACCACAGGUAAGCUGCUGGCUCAAGUCCUAAGAACUGGAGGUCAGACGAACAGGGGCCAACUGCAGGAUCCAGAACAAAAGCCCCGGCAAGGAGAGGGGAAGGCCUAGGUAUCGGAGAGUGGAAAGAUGAAGGCUGAGGGGGUGGUGAGCUCCCAAGGCCUUGCCUCUGCCAGUACCACUCACAGCAGAUCCCAUCAUGGGGGUGAUCAAAUCUCAACAGGGAAGUGAUCCCAACAUCAUACGACUGCCAAAACACUGAGAAUCAUGGCCUAGCCAAGUUGACAUACAAUUUUAACCAUCACAAUGUACAUACAGGAGAUCCCUAGGUGGCACAAAUUGUUUGCCCUUGACUACUAACCUAAAGGUUGGCAGUUCAAACCCACCCACCAGCGCCACAGAACAAAGGCCUGAUGAUCUUCUCCCAUAAAGAUUACAGGCAAGAAAACCCUAUGGAGCAGUUCUACUUUGUCACAUGGGGUUGCCAUGAAUCAGAAUCAACUCAAUGGCAAUGGGUUUGGUUUUGGUUUAUAUGUAGUGGGAAUUUCUCAACUUAUUCCAAUUGCUAAAGAAAGCAUGCUAUGUGAUUGUUAGCAGAACAAGAGGUAGCCAUAGACUAUGAGGCAGGACUAGAGGAAAAGGAGAAUCUUAAAACGAAAGUGGGCAGCAAACAUUGUAGGCAGAAAUGGCAGAUGCAUGUGACACUACAGAGUGGUUUUGUGAGGUUUAUUAGCGUGACCUUUUUUUGUAAAUUGUAUUUCACCCAUGACCUUCAAAAAAGUGCUACACCUUAGUUGUACAGGUCAAUGAUUUUUCUCAAAAUGAACACAUCUCUGAAACCAGGAUCCCAGUCAAGAAAAGUGUAAGCAUACCAUCAUCUCUGUCAGCCUCUCAGUAAACUAUUAACCCACCAGGAGGGCUAUCUGACUUCUAGCAUCUGUGUUCUAACAUGGUUUUGCCUAUUUUUUCACUUGGUACUUAUUUGAGUCUGCCUCCUCCUCCUCCUCCUUCUAUCUCCUCCUCCUACUGCUUCUACUCUUCCUCUUCUUCCUACUCGUUUCCUUCUUCUUUUCCCCCCUUUCUUCUUUCUCCUCUUUCUCUUCUUCUCCCUCCUCUUCCUCCUCCUCCUCAUCCUCUUCUCCUUUUUCUUAAAUCCCUCAGGAUGAUGGAGGCUGGAUUUUAUAAUUGUAUGUGCAAUAUGUGGUCUAGAGUAAGAUAUGGAUGCAUAUAAGGAAACAGAUAAAUAAUCCAAUUCUCGAUAAAGAUACUUCACAAUGACCCACCAUCCCUCAGUAACUCUCAGGGAUUCUUAAGUAAAGUUCUGCUAAUUUGUGUUUCUUGGGCUGGGCUUACUUCUCAGGGAAGUUUCUACAUGUAUAUUCGAAUUUCAAGGUAAAAAACACCAAACCAGCAGCCAUGGAGUUGACUUCGACUCAUAGCGACCCCAUGAGUGUCAGAGUAGAACUGUGCUCCAUAGGGUUUGCAAUGGCUGAUUUUUUUUGGAAGUAAAUGUCAAGCACUUAACUGUUUAUGCCACCCAGGGGUUAAUUUCAAGGUAAAGACUGACAAAAAAAUCAUUGACUUUACAUGGAAAAGGAGUCAUAUGAGGCUUUCAUUUGGGAAUUCUUGAUCAUAUAACAUCCAGUUGUAUCUUGGAGUAAAUAACUUUCCAAAGGCACCAAGGUUCCACCCUCACAUAAGAGACAUGUGGUUGUGCUCUCUGUGCUGGGAAGAGGGCUAGGAUGCUCACAGAAUUGUCACUCUGUCUGUGGAGAGCAGCCCCAAAUACAGAACAUAGUUUUGGGAAAUGAUUUGUUAAGAAGUGAUUUUAGUUGUUGCUCUAAAUGGCAAGGAGGUGCAGGGCAGUGUGGGUUGUCUCGGGGCAUUCCCCUUCCUCAUCUUCAGAGGAAGGAACCCCUGGAGCGGGACAGCAGCAGUGAGUCUGGUGACCAAGACAGUGCAAAAUUUCUGGUGGGGGCCACUGCACCAGAAUAUAGAGAUAAUUUCAGGGCAAGUAACAUCAGGGCUUGAGUUGGAUAUGAACUAUAGUCUAUGGUUUAGGCUAGAAUGUGCCAGUAAACUAUUACAGGAUGGCAAGGGCCAGAGGAAGAAAAAUAGUGAGGUCCAGUAUUAGUAAUUAUACCUGGGUCAAGGCAUGUAUGAAUUCUAUGAAAUUUCUGGUGACUGCUAUGAAAUUUCUGGUGACUGCACAGAAAGGCAGGUGUUAUGGAAUUCUUGAGGUAACCAUUUAAAUAUUCAAAAGAAGGUGAUGUACAUAAUUGAAGCUGGGAAGUUUUUGCUGUAAGCCAUUUUUCACUAAAAGGUGUUAUCCCUUCUGUACUAUCACCCAGGCUUUAAGAAAGUUAGAAUCCAGACUUUACAGAGCCGUUGAGGCUGGAUGAGCCCCCAAAACAAUUGCCGUGAGAUAAUCUUUAAACUUUAAACCAGAACUAUCCCCUGAAGUCUUCUUUGAACCAAAAAAAAAAAAAAGGCUUAUGUUAAUUAGUAACGUACACAUGCUUUGAGCAUUGAGCUCUUUUAAAGAAUUAUCUACGUGAUAUCAAACUGGCAGGUGCAACUCGAAAGGUUAGAUGGGAAGCUUACGGGAUACUGAUUUUAAGAUAAUGGUGGUGGAAUACUGUGGAAAAGGAAAACGAGAAUGAUAGCACAACUUGAAGAAUGUAACCAAUGUCACUGAACUGUACAUGUAGAAAUUGUUGAAAUGGUGUAUGUUUGGUUAUACUUUCACCAAAAUAAAAAAAAAUUAAAGUAAAAAAGAAAAGAAAAAAAUAUCUGGAAAGAAUCUGUAUGGUGCUUAAUAAAUUAAAGUGACUUCAAAAAUAAAUAAAUUUGAUUCCAGUAAAAAAAAAAAUCUAUAUUAAUUUUUUUUAAAGAAAGGAAAGGUCAAAGUAAAAAGACAAGCCUAUUUCAAUUUCCUAUCAAAUUAAUAUUUAAUGUAGAUCUUUGUAUAUGUUUGAAAA